UGGAAGUAGAACACUUGUGGGUGAUAGUAUGAUCAAGUGAAGACCUUUCCCAUGAAUAGCACACAGCGACUUCUCCAAGGACUUUUACUUCAGAUCUGCAUGUAAAUGUUCCCCCACUCAUCUUAAUCACACCAGGCAGCUAAUUAAUUGGAAGCUAGCUUGGUGACCAAGCCCAGAAUGGUGGAAGUGACUCAAUGACAUGGAAACAUGGUAAGUCCCUG